GCUCGCCCACCAUCUCCUCCUCUCUCCGUUCCUAUCUUCGCCGCCGGUGUGCCAUUCGACGGCGUUUCUCCGUCCGCCGUUCUCUCCCCGCCCCCCCCCCCCCCCUCCCGGCGAUCGAGGAAUCCGGAAUUUUCCUCCGGGCUCGGCGUUUUGCGGCGCUUCGGAUAUCCCUUAGGGUUCGGUGUUCGAAUCUCGGUGUCUCAGCGAUCGAUCUGCGGCUGAAUUUCGCGGUUCCUAGCCGGGGUACAUAAAUUCACGGUCUGUUGUUGCUCCGUUGUUAUUCAACUGUUGAAUUGGGUUUGGCAUUCUGGUUAUUCCGAAUUGGGGGUGCUUGGGAUUGGGAUUGGGAAUUUUUUCUUCUUUGUUGUUUUUCAGUGGAAAAUUGAUAAAAAGAUUGGUGUAUUUUGCUGUUUCUUUGGGUAGAGGUGCAGUUCUGUUAGGGUUUUUUUUUUUUUUAAUUGAGCGUGUCUCUGUGGAUUUAUAUAUGGCGGCUGGGAGGCAUGGGGGUUAUCGUGACAAUGAGUUGAGGGACCGUGAGUCUAAUUUGUAUGCGUCGAAGCGGGAUUUGGGUUAUUCUAAGGAGGAAUAUGACCGGAGUGGGAGCAGUAAUCAUGACGAGGAGCGAGUCCGAAGUCGUAAUGCUAGAGAUAGGGCUAGGGUUAGGCAGAAGGAUGUUAAGGAGAGGGAAGUGGCAAACGGCGGGCACCACUCCUCUUCGAGUAGGAGUGACUCUGGGAGUAGUGGAGGUGCGGGUGGCGGUGGGUCUAGGCAUCGUGGUAUUUCAGUUAGGACCAUGGAUAGAGAGCCAGGUGAAUUGUCCAGCGAAAGCGGGUCUGAGGACGCCAUAGAGUCUGACACACGGGUUAAGGACGUAGAGGUUUCUAAGACGGCAGAGAAUGGGACCCACUCCCCAGUAGUGGAGAGGAAGAGGAAAUUCUCACCUAUAAUUUGGGAUAGAGAUGAUGAUGAAUCAAGUAAGGCAUUGAAAAGAAGGGCUUCCACCACAGUUGCUGCCCUUCCUCCUCCACCUCCACUUCCAAAAUCAUACCGUGAGAUCCCUAAUACUUACAAUGGGGUUGUGCAGAUAUCUUCAGUUAAAUGUGAUUUAGGUCAAGAACCACAGCCUUCCUCACCGGUUACUGAAAAGGUUAAUAUAAGUGGUGAAUCUGGGGCUGAGUCUCCAAUAGAAGACUCUUCAGCAUUUGCUUUACCUUCAAAUCACGAUCUAUGGGGUAAUGAUCAGGAGGCAACACAGGUAGAAGAUGAAGAUGAUGUGCCAAUGCAUAACAUAUCAUCUUCCAGAUGGGCAGCAGGAGAUAGUUCUCCAGUUGAUGAGGGUGAGAUAGUGGAGGAUGAAGAUUUGCCUAUGAGAAGAAAGAAGACACCUUUGUUGGAAUCAUUAGGAGUCAGAGGACGUGGCAAAUCAGUCAGUCCUGAGAUGGGGAAGCUUAAGAAAGAUGGCUCAGACAGACUUAGGGGCAGGUCUUCUGAACCUGAUGGGCGAGGUGGCACUGCUGGGUCAUCCAGUGAUAACCGCUAUUCUGACCAUGACUUUGAUAAAAAUGAUUACAUGGAUGUCGAUGAAAAGAACCGAAAAGGUGAUAUGAUCAACGAUAUGUCCGACACUAAUUCAGAAAGCGACGAUGAUUCUCGAGGAACGCCAGAACCUGCUGGUCUGCCUCAGAGAAGUGUAAAUAUGCUGCAGGGUUGUAGAAGUGUUGAUGAGUUUGAGAGGCUUAACAAGAUUGAUGAAGGGACUUAUGGUGUAGUUUACAGAGCUAGGGAUAAGAAAACUGGAGAAAUUGUAGCACUGAAGAAGGUAAAGAUGGAAAAGGAAAGGGAAGGUUUUCCUUUGACUUCUCUGAGGGAAAUAAAUAUUCUGCUAUCUUUUCAUCACCCGUCGAUCGUGGAUGUGAAAGAAGUUGUGGUGGGGAGCAAUCUUGACAGCAUUUUUAUGGUGAUGGAAUACAUGGAGCACGAUCUUAAAGCGCUGAUGGAGACAAUGAAACAGCCUUUUAGUCAGAGCGAAGUCAAAUGUCUAAUGUUGCAGCUAUUAGAAGGUGUGAAGUAUCUUCAUGACAACUGGGUGCUUCAUCGGGACCUUAAAACAUCAAAUUUGCUUCUCAAUAAUCGUGGUGAGUUGAAAAUUUGCGAUUUUGGAUUGGCUCGGCAGUAUGGAAGCCCAUUAAAGCCUUACACUCACUUGGUAGUUACUCUUUGGUACAGGGCACCUGAACUCCUGUUGGGGGCAAAACAGUACUCAACUGCCAUUGACAUGUGGUCCCUGGGCUGUAUCAUGGCUGAAAUGUUAUCCAAGGAGCCACUCUUUAAUGGGAAAACUGAAUUUGAUCAACUUGACAAGAUAUUUAGAACUCUUGGAACCCCAAAUGAGACUAUCUGGCCGGGUUUCUCCAAGCUCCCUGGUGUCAGGGUCAACUUUGUAAAGCACCAGUACAACUUGUUGCGGAAGAAAUUUCCACCAACAUCUUUCACAGGAUCUCCAGUACUUUCAGAUUCUGGUUUUGACUUGUUGAAUAAGCUUCUUACUUAUGACCCUGAAAAGCGAAUAACUGCAGAGGCUGCCCUUAAUCAUGAGUGGUUCCGUGAAGUGCCUCUUCCGAAGUCCAAAGAUUUUAUGCCUACUUUUCCUGCUCAACAUGCUCAGGACAGGCGCAUGCGAAGAGUUAUGAAGAGUCCAGAUCCUUUAGAAGAGCAGCGCAGGAAGGAAUUAAUGCAAGGCGAGCUCGGGGGUGGAGGUUUGUUUGGCUAAAUGAAUAGGAUAGCCUGUGAACCUCAUGCUGCAGUCUGUAUACACAAAAUGGACAUGGUCGAGGUGAGAGUUGCAUUGACGGGAGUUGGGAACAUAUUUAUCUGGAGAUCAUUCAUGUUAUUUUUUAGCAGGCGCCGUGCUUGGGUGGAGAAGUUUGUUCUUGGUCUCCAUUAGUAAGCCAGAUGUCUCGCAGGUUUACUUUGUUCACUGGCUUUGAUCACCAAUAGAUAUGCAUCUGCGACCCUGCUUGCAUCGCAAGAGACGGUGGUCUGAAGUUGAAGGACGUUCUUUUCUUUACAUACAGGAAGAAUAUCACAGUAACGAGUAACCUAUAUGUUUGGAAGAAGGACGUGUAUGUUUUGCCCCAUUCGCUUGAAUCCAAAAUAUUGUAACUACGUGACUUAUUUUGUGACCUGGGAAGCCCUGGAAAUGUCCUUAUUGUGCUGAUGGCAUGUGAUGGUGUCGAGAUUUCUAUAAUUUUUCAGAAUUUUGACGUUUGUCUGCGGCUGUCACCUGCAGUAUCCAAGUUGCAAGCAGGUUGAGGAGUUUACCUUCAAAUUGGAUUAUAGAACUUCCAUUAGUUGUUCGUUCAGGCUCAUCAGAGGUACCAUAUAACUCUUAGUUUUCGCUUCGCCAUAUUGACAGUAUCAUGUCCAGUUUGGUUAAACUAGAUCUUGGUAAUUUUUGUUAAUAUAUUAUACUUCACCAUAAUAUAGUCAGAAUGUUGCUGGGUAUAAGAGUUCCUUUGAGCUUCUGUCAGGAAUAUGUGCCAUUACUGACGGGAAACAUUAUCCCUCUGCAUCAUGCUUUUGGUGGAUGAAAUUUUCUUGGCUAAUUGGGUAUCAGAAGUUGAUAGAUGCUGCAUGCUUCUUGAAGACUUAAGUUUAUUGGACAGGAUUAAAGUCUUGGAAUUUGUCUUUCACUAAUUGCAGCUUCGCUUUUUUAUUGUCUAGUGGAGUAAAUUAUUCAAUUAUUCACAACAAAUGCCUUUUUGAGACGUGCGUAGUUAUUUGCAAGCUAUCAGUUGCAACGUUGUGGCAAGUGCUUUAAUGCUGACUUUUAAAGAGUCAUGAUUCCUCAAGUGUUUUUGGGUUCAUGUCCGUAACCCUGUUUUUUAUGUCUUGCCAUGUGGAAUUUGGACAAAACUGAAUUAUUUUUAGGCUCAAUAAUGGUGGAGUUAAGGAUUAGGUUCUAUUUCCUUAGCUGGUUCGACCUUAUCUCUGCUUUUGUUACAACCCUGGCUCUAUGGAUGGAGCAUUUCACGGUCAAAAUUUUUUCUGCUUGCCCGAUUUUUCAUGACAUUUCCUGUGGAAAGAACUUUGGUUGGGAGAAACUUGGAAAUGCUAUUAUGAUAGGGAAAUAUUCUUGCUUAGACUCAAGUCCAUGGACCAGGUGCUUAGUGGUUUUUCAUGUGGGAGACCCAUAUGUGGAGCGCAUGUUGAACCUACACGAUCUAUACGGUUGUGAUCGAUCCGGUCCAUGUUGGCUCGGGUGCAGGCGAGAAAUUCCCACUGUCAUGGGACUUAUUUCAUUUUAUUUGACAGUACUUAUGUGAAACUCUUCCACCUUUAAGUGAAUAUAGAGAAUUGGCAGGCCUUGAGAAAAUAUGAUGCAUUCGUCUUGGCAUUCAUUGUUAGACAACGUUCAAUCUCUGGUGGGCAUUUUAUAUUGGAUAAGUUUAUAAAAAAUAAAAAUGGUAUUUAAGGUUUUUUGUUUUCCAGAUUUGCUAUGAAGUUAUUCACUUUACCAACUCCGAGAUAAGAGUUUCAUUUGAAGCGAUGAAAGAUGAUGCAACUUUUUGAAUCUAUUGAAUUGCAUUAAAAGCAAAGGGACAAAAAUUGUGUCGCUAUUAACUGCGUUCCAUGGUCGAGUUUAGUAGGAUGUGGUUUUCUCUUGUUUCUUUUGAGUCAUGGUCGAACCUGUUGUGAGUUGAGAAUUGUAUGUGCAACUAUGAGGAGUGGUUGAUGUGAAGAAGAGGUUUUUACAUUCAACUGUCUUGCUUCGGGUGAAACAAGAAACUUGUAUCGGCCAUACAUGUAUUUUUGUUUUUUUUUGUACGCCUGUUCUCUCUUUUCUCUGGUGUCUCUAGGGAGCUAUCCAUUGUGGGUAAUACAGAGGCAAGAAAUUGGCGCCUUGAAGCCUGGAUUGAGUUGUAAUCUAAUGGCCGACGGUCACAGAAGAGAAACUUAGAUGAUGGAGGCUUCUUCAAGCAGAAGAAUAUCGCACUGGAAGCUAGUGUUACAAUAACACUGCGAAGCAAUAGGCGGAGAAAAAGAUGAUGCAGUAUAGGAAGGAAGCGACCGAAGAGUCCAUCCCUAUCUUAGAUUCGUUUACUCUGCUCAUGGGCGAGGACAGUAAAACGUUUCUCAAGAGGAUUAUUUCUCGAAUGACAACCGAUGCAGGAGUGAUACUUGCACGGAUAAUUGCACAGUGAUUGGGCAUGUAAGCAACGGGAAAUGGUCGCGCAUGGUGCAGAUUAUAUGGUCAGUUGGGAAUUGCCAUUGGGCACUCCCGGCGAUAUAGAAUCGAAAAAGUUAAAAAAGUCCCGAGUUGCUCUUCAAAAUCUUUUACUUCUCGUCCUUUCACCAUCGAAAAACUUAAUUUACUCGAACUGCUUCGAGUCUGGGAAGCAUGCCUAACUUGUUACGCUCUUCUACAAUUUAAAUUGGGGUUUUAAUCAA